UAUACACUCAGACAUUACUGGGAGUAUUAUUGCUGUGGAGCUCUGUUAUACACUCAGACACAUUACUGGGAGUAUUAUUACUGUGGAGCUCUGUGAUACACUCAGACACAUUUCUGGGAGUAUUAUUACUCAGACACACCAGCAAUUCAGAUAGAAAAGGGGGAUUUGGACCCAAAAUAGGGACUUUCCCUCCUAAAUAGGGACACUUGGGAGGUAUGUUAUCUGUAU